rnacentral:rRNA from 1 species
CCUACGGGAGGCAGCAGUGGGGAAUAUUGGACAAUGGGCGAAAGCCUGAUCCAGCCAUGCCGCGUGUGUGAAGAAGGCCUUCGGGUUGUAAAGCACUUUCAGUGGGGAAGAAAGCCUUGGGGCUAAUACCCUCGAGGAAGGACAUCACCCACAGAAGAAGCACCGGCUAACUCCGUGCCAGCAGCCGCGGUAAUACGGAGGGUGCGAGCGUUAAUCGGAAUUACUGGGCGUAAAGCGCGCGUAGGCGGUCUGAUAAGCCGGUUGUGAAAGCCCCGGGCUCAACCUGGGAACGGCAUCCGGAACUGUCAGGCUAGAGUGCAGGAGAGGAAGGUAGAAUUCCCGGUGUAGCGGUGAAAUGCGUAGAGAUCGGGAGGAAUACCAGUGGCGAAGGCGGCCUUCUGGACUGACACUGACGCUGAGGUGCGAAAGCGUGGGUAGCAAACAGGAUUAGAUACCCUUGUCGUC